rnacentral:rRNA from 1 species
UACGAAGGGUGCAAGCGUUAUUCGGAAUCAUUGGGCGUAAAGCGCGCGCAGGCGGAUCAGCAAGUCAGGUGUGAAAUCUCGAAGCUCAACUUCGAAACUGCGCCUGAAACUGCUAGUCUAGAGUGUCGGAGGGGGUAGGGGAAUUUCACGUGUAGGGGGUAAAAAUCCGUAGAGAUGUGAAGGAACACCGGAGGCGAAGGCGCCUACCUGGACGACUACUGACGCUGAGGCGACGAAAGCGUGGGGAGCAAACAGG